rnacentral:rRNA from 1 species
AGAUUGAACGCUGGCGGCAUGCCUUACACAUGCAAGUCGAACGGCAGCACGGGAGCAAUCCUGGUGGCGAGUGGCGAACGGGUGAGUAAUACAUCGGAACGUGCCCAGUUGUGGGGGAUAGCCCGGCGAAAGCCGGAUUAAUACCGCAUACGACCUACGGGUGAAAGCGGGGGAUCGCAAGACCUCGCGCAAUUGGAGCGGCCGAUGGCAGAUUAGCUUGUUGGUGGGGUAAAAGCCUACCAAGGCGACGAUCUGUAGCUGGUCUGAGAGGACGACCAGCCACACUGGGACUGAGACACGGCCCAGACUCCUACGGGAGGCAGCAGUGGGGAAUUUUGGACAAUGGGCGCAAGCCUGAUCCAGCCAUGCCGCGUGUGGGAAGAAGGCCUCGGUUGUAAACCACUUUGUCUAGGAAGAAACGGUCUCGAUACUAAUAAAUUAGAACUAAUAGAACGUACCUAGAAGAAUAAGACGACCGACUAACUAACGUGACCAGCACGCCGACGGUAAUACG